UGGCAUACGGCUCAGUAACACGUAGUCAACAUGCCCAGGGGACGUGGAUAACCUCGGGAAACUGAGGAUAAACCGCGAUAGGCCAUGAUUUCUGGAAUGGUUUAUGGCCGAAAUCUAUAUGGCCCCUGGAUUGGACUGCGGCCGAUCAGGCUGUUGGUGAGGUAAUGGCCCACCAAACCUGUAACCGGUACGGGCUCUGAGAGGAGGAGCCCGGAGAUGGGCACUGAGACAAGGGCCCAGGCCCUAUGGGGCGCAGCAGGCGCGAAAUCUCUGCAAUAGGCGAAAGCUUGACAGGGUUACUCUGAGUGGUUCCCGUUAAGGGGAUCUUUUGGCACCUUUAAAAAUGGUGCAGAAUAAGGGGUGGGCAAGUCUGGUGUCAGCCGCCGCGGUAAUACCAGCACCCCGAGUGGUCGGGACGAUUAUUGGGCCUAAAGCAUCCGUAGCCGGUACUGCAAGUCUUCCGUUAAAUCCACCUGCUUAACAGUUGGGCUGCGGGGGAUACUACAGCGCUAGGAGGCGGGAGAGGCAAGCGGUACUCAAUGGGUAGGGGUAAAAUCCGCUGAUCCAUUGAAGACCACCAGUGGCGAAGGCGGCUUGCCAGAACGCGCUCGA
rnacentral:rRNA from 1 species